AGGUGGCGCUGUUGUAGAACUUUUUGAAUUAAGAGCGUCUCACUCCAGUGUGCCAAAGAAUUUCACACAGCAUGGACGGGUGCCAAACAAAUACAGCUUUGCUUUAAGCAUGGACGCACGCAGAACAUUUCUGUGCAAAUUGUCUCAUUUUGCUGAAUAACCUGGAAACGCACCGUCAGAACAAGGACUCGUUAAAGUUUGCUGUUUGGGAACACGAGAUUUUCUCAAGAAAGAUGGACUGAACCGAUUUCAUAUCAGCAAUUUCCAACAGCGACAGAACGAGUAUCUCCCGCAACCUCUGAAGUCGUUUACACCACAUGUACGGCCAUAAUGAUGUUGCAGAGUUGACGUCCCGUUACGCAGCUAAAUGUUUUACCUAAACCAAACGUCAAGUCCCCCUGGGGUGCAGGAACAGGAAUGCGUGAUAUGCGGCCGAGCAGACGGCCUGUGUGAUACUCCUGCUGAGCGCUGGAGAAAAGGGCAGACGAGGUGGUGAAAAACAACCCUGCUGCCACCUCCACUCAUGCAUCCUUCAUCACCUCUCGCUCUCGCUUUUCUCUCUCGUCCAGUGAUCGUCUCACGCCUAGCCCUACUUUUGUGACCUUUCGCCUUUGCAUCAAUCAUUGUGUCGUACAAAUGUACAGUGUAUUUGGGACAAAGCAAAAAGGGUCACCCCGUCUUAAAUUCUGUUUAUCUCUCCUGACAGGGAUCUUCUUGCGUCUCAAUCUGGUUAAUAAAGUUAAUUACAGUUUCUACAACACAUAUUUUGCCCCAAACAGAGUUUGGCCACAGAACGCUGCAACAACCCAAUUUAACUUGGUUCACAAAGUUGCCAGAACGUUACGUAACGUCCUGACAAGACUUAAGUUGAAACAUGCUUAGCUUUAUUGUUUUUGUUUUCUAAAGACAAGACACAGAGCUUUAUUCUUUAAUAAGAAUAAAGCUAAGCAUGUUCUUGCUGAUCUUGUUUCCCUGUGAAGCAGUUUGACAAAGUGCCAGGCUAAAGCCGGCACGUUUACUCUUUGUUUCGAUAUCACUUGUUGAUAAAUCGGUUAAUGGCAUAUCUCAUUGCAGUUGUAUUUAGUUGUGUGUCAACAAAACAUACGUAAAAUACUUGUUUGAGGAGCUUGGUGUUGUUAAAAUUAGUUAAAAUGUAAAAAUGCUUGUAAGUGAAAUAAAAGAAGUUCUUGCUCUGAAAA